rnacentral:rRNA from 1 species
UAGGGAACCUUCCACAAUGGACGCAAGUCUGAUGGAGCAACGCCGCGUGAGUGAAGAAGGUCUUCGGAUCGUAAAGCUCUGUUGUUGGUGAAGAAGGAUAGAGGCAGUAACUGGUCUUUAUUUGACGGUAAUCAACCAGAAAGUCACGGCUAACUACGUGCCAGCAGCCGCGGUAAUACGUAGGUGGCAAGCGUUGUCCGGAUUUAUUGGGCGUAAAGCGAGCGCAGGCGGAAUGAUAAGUCUGAUGUGAAAGCCCACGGCUCAACCGUGGAACUGCAUCGGAAACUGUCAUUCUUGAGUGCAGAAGAGGAGAGUGGAACUCCAUGUGUAGCGGUGGAAUGCGUAGAUAUAUGGAAGAACACCAGUGGCGAANGGCGGCUCUCUGGUCUGCAACUGACGCUGAGGCUCGAAAGCAUGGGUAGCGAACAGGAUUAGAUACCCUGGUAGUCCA